UCUGGUUGAUCCUGCCGGACCUGACUGCUAUCGGAUUGGUACUAAGCCAUGCGAGUCGUUGUACAAUACAAGGCGGACUGCUCAGUAACACGUGGUUAACUUAACCUAUGGAUGGGAAUAACCUCGGGAAACUGAGAAUAAUACCCAAUGGGCCACAGUGCCUGGAAUGGCCUGUGGUUGAAAUGAUUUAUCGCCGUAGGAUAGGACUGCGGCCUAUCAGCUUGUUGGUGAGGUAAUGGCCCACCAAGGCUAUAACAGGUACGGGCUCUGAGAGGAGGGGUCCGGAGAUGGGUACUGAGACACGGACCCAGGCCCUAUGGGGCGCAGCAGGCGAGAAACCUUUGCAAUGUGCGAAAGCACGACAAGGUUAAUCCGAGUGUCUCCUGCUAAAGGAGUCUUUUGUCAGUUGUAGAAUCACUGGUGAAUAAGGGGUGGGCAAGUUCUGGUGUCAGCCGCCGCGGUAAAACCAGCACCUCGAGUGGUCAGGAGGUUUAUUGGGCCUAAAGCAUCCGUAGCCGGUUGCAUAAGUUUUCGGUUAAAUCUAUGCGCUUAACGUAUAGGCCGNCGAAAAUUCUGUGCAGCUAGGGAGUG
rnacentral:rRNA from 1 species